rnacentral:rRNA from 1 species
AUUGAACGCUGGCGGCAGGCCUAACACAUGCAAGUCGAGCGAGCGGCGGACGGGUGACUAAUGUCUGGGAAACUGCCUGAUGGAGGGGGCUAACUACUGGCAACGGUAGCUAAUACCGCAUACCCUCAGAUGUGCCCCGAUGGGAUUAGCUAGUAGGUGGGGUAACGGCUAACCUAGGCGACGAUCCCUAGCUGGUCUGAGAGGAUGAACAGCCACACUGGAACUGAGACACGGUCCAGACUCCUACGUGAGUCAGCAGGGGGGAAUAUUGAACAAGGGGCGAAAGCCUGAUGCAGCCAGUCCGCGUGUGUGAAGAAGGCCUGCGGGUUGUAAAGCACUUUCAGCGGGGAGGCGUUACCCGCAGAAGAAGCACCGGCGAACUCCGUGCCAGCAGCCGCGGUAAUUC